UGGGGAAUUUUGCACAAUGGGGGAAACCCUGAUGCAGCGACGCCGCGUGAUUUAGAAGGCCUUCGGGUUGUAAAAAUCUUUUCUAGGGGAAGAAAAUGACAGUACCAUAGGAAUAAGGACCGGCUAAUUACGUGCCAGCAGCCGCGGUAAUACGUAAGGUCCGAGCGUUGUCCGGAAGCAUUGGGCGUAAAGGGUACGUAGGCGGGUAAGCAAGUUAGAAGUGAAAUCCUAUAGCUCAACUAUAGUAAGCUUUUAAAACUGCUCAUCUUGAGGUAUGGAAGGGAAAGUGGAAUUCCUAGUGUAGCGGUGAAAUGCGCAGAUAUUAGGAGGAAUACCGGUGGCGAAGGCGACUUUCUGGCCAUAACCUGACGCUGAGGUACGAAAGCGUGGGUAGCAAACAGG
rnacentral:rRNA from 1 species